AACGAACGCUGGCGGCAUGCCUAACACAUGCAAGUCGAACGAGACCUUCGGGUCUAGUGGCGCACGGGUGCGUAACGCGUGGGAACCUGCCCUUAGGUUCGGAAUAACUCCCCGAAAGGGGUGCUAAUACCGGCUAAUGUCUUCGGACCAAAGAUUUGUCGCCUUUGGAUGGGCCCGCGUGGGAUUAGCUAGUUGGUAGGGUAAAAGCCUACCAAGGCGACGAUCCAUAGCUGGUCUGAGAGGAUGGUCAGCCACACUGGGACUGAGACACGGCCGAGACUCCUACGGGAUGCAGCAGUGGCGAAUAUUGGACAAUGGGCGAAAGCCUGAUCCAGCAAUGCCGCGUGAGUGAUGAAGGCCUUAGGGUUGUAAAGCUCUUUUACCCGUUAUUAUAAUGACAGUACCGGGAGAAUAAGCUCCGGCUAACUCCGUG
rnacentral:rRNA from 1 species